GAGUUGUGGCUCAGUGGUAGAGUACUUGCCUAGCAUGUGUGAGGCCCUGGGUUGAUCUCAGCACCACAUACAAAUAAAUAAAAAUUUUUUUUUUUUUUUUUUUUAAUAUUUAUUUUAUUUUUUUAGUUUUCAGUGGACACAACAUCUUUGUAUGUAUGUGGUGCUGAGGAUCGAACCCGGGCCGCACGCA
rnacentral:tRNA from 1 species